rnacentral:rRNA from 1 species
UAGAGUUUGAUCCUGGCUCAGGAUGAACGCUGGCGGCGUGCUUAACACAUGCAAGUCGGACGAUGAAGCGGUGCUUGCACCGUGGAUUAGUGGCGAACGGGUGAAUAACACGUGAGUAACCUGCCCUUGACUUCAGGAUAAGCCUGGGAAACUGGGUCUAAUACUGGAUAUGACUGCCGGGCGCAUGCUCUGGUGGUGGAAAGCUUGAUGCGGUUUUGGAUGGACUCGCGGCCUAUCAGCUGGUUGGUGGGGUAAUGGCUUACCAAGGCGACGACGGGUAGCCGGCCUGAGAGGGUGACCGGUCACACUGGGACUGAGACACGGCCCAGACUCCUACGGGAGGCAGCAGUGGGGAAUCUUGCACAAUGGGCGAAAGCCUGAUGCAGCGACGCCGCGUGAGGGAUGAAUGCCUUCGGGUUGUAAACCUCUUUCAGUAGGGAAGAAGCCCUUCGGGGUGACGGUACUUGCAGAAGAAGCGCCGGCUAACUACGUGCCAGCAGCCGCGGUAAUACGUAGGGCGCAAGCGUUAUCCGGAAUUAUUGGGCGUAAAGAGCUCGUAGGCGGUUUGUCACGUCUGCUGUGAAAGCCCGGGGCUUAACUCCGGGUGUGCAGUGGGUACGGGCAGACUGGAGUGCAGUAGGGGAGACUGGAAUUCCUGGUGUAGCGGUGAAAUGCGCAGAUAUCAGGAGGAACACCGAUGGCGAAGGCAGGUCUCUGGGCUGUUACUGACGCUGAGGAGCGAAAGCAUGGGGAGCGAACAGGAUUAGAUACCCUGGUAGUCCAUGCCGUAAACGUUGGGCACUAGGUGUGGGGGACAUUCCACG